CUCUGUCAAUUAGUAGUAACAAAGAAACAUAAACAUCCAUCCCACAGGUAUGCACAGAGCCCAGUCUGGUGGAGACGAAGCCUCAUUUGACGUUGCAGCUUCCCAGGGUCUGUCAAAUUGACAGCCAAGAAUAGCUACGUGUGUUGGUGUCAUUUUGGUAAGGAGGGAUCGCUGGAGUACUGGAGUGUCAGUAUCAGGAGGUAUGAUCUAGCAAGGAUAUAUGAGCAGACUGCACGCUUCUAGCCUCCUUGGGAACCAGGUACAUGGUGCAUAGAUAUACAUGUUAUACAGGGAAUACCCCAUAUAUGUAAAACAAUCCCUUAAAAUUAAGACAAAAUCCCCAAUGUGACAUACAUGUGUCCAACACUUUAGAAAUCCUCUUAUGACCCUUUAAUUUUUCUCCUCCCUUAAUAGGUGACCAUGGCCUUUUGUGUAUUUUUGGCUGUUCUAGAAUUUGAGUUUUAUAGAAAUGCCUUUUUUUCCUUGACAAUUUGUGUGUGUGAGUGUGUGUAAGUGUGAGUGUGAGUGUGUGUGUGUGUGUGUGUGUGUGUGCCGGGUAUCAAAUCCAGGUCCUUGUGUAAGGGUUCUACAAUUGAGCAAACAUCAAUAGUCAAAAGUUUUUGAAGGGCUAGAGAGAUGGAUCAGUAGGUAACAGCACUUGUUGUUCUUGCAGGAGACCCAGGUUCAGUUCUUAGCACUAUGUGACUCUCAACCAUCUGUAACUCCAGUUCCAGGGGAUCUGACACUCUUCUUCUGGCCUCCAUGGACAGUGCACAUACAUGUUGCAAAACAGCUUUCUCUGAAUAUUUCCCCUGCACCGUACCCAUCGGCCUAGUGUUGAGUCUCCUUGGAGCAGCGUUGGUGAAACUCGAAUUAAAGCUCCUGGAGCUUCUUGAAGCUUAGAAUCACUAAGACAAGGAAACAAAAACAGUUGCCAGGGUGGAACAGUGAGUGGAGCGGCAGAUGAGGGGCGUGGCCUGUGUACACUGCUGGGGUUUCCUUUGAUGCUUGUCCAUUCUUUCCUUACUAUUCUAUCUCGUAAGAAGACAAAAAGGCUCAGCUAUACUCAGGUUGCUGUGACUGUUUACUAGCGGGUGGUAGCUUUCCCAGCAUUGGACACUGACAGUGUCUACACACGGCAAGAGAAGUGGUUCCUAGUUUAUAGGCAAAGAAACUGACAGCAUAGGCAUGGGAAGGGAGUCACUUAAUGGAUUAGGGACUGGCUGAGCUGGGAUCAGAACCCAGGUGGCCUGGCUUCCAGCCCAGCUGACCACACUGCUACCCACACAGACAGAGCUGGCCAAAGACAAGUAGCCCAUUGAGCAAUUACACAAACAACAAUGCCUGACGGAUGGUCAGAGUAAGGAACAGGCACAGAGCAACUGCAACCCCAUCACUUCCUGAUCCCUAAAUUUCCAGGCAGGCCUACAAUGUACAGUCGCUUAAAUGGCUUUGACCAGCAACCUAGCUCAGCUUUCGAAUGUGGACCGCAUUUUGUGGUCACUGCCACAAAAAACAUCUGUCUAUACCCAAGGUAGGGAGCACCUCUGAGCUCCAUACCUGGUCCAAAGGAGUCUGUGAGAGGGUGUAAGCAUAGUUAAUUGAUGAGUGUGACCUUGGCCUGGAGGCCUUGGUGAAAACAGCUCUCAGUUUUGCAUAGUUCUGCCUUCCCACCUCAGACUUAGCUAACAGGGUCUAGUAUGAUCUAUGGAAUUCAGUGAGAUCAAAUCCCAUCCUCUUCUCAAAAUUGUCCCUAAAUAGUAGCUAUAACUAGUAUUCCCUGACUCUUUUUUUUUUCUUUUUUCUUUUUUUUCAGAGCUGGGGACCGAACCCAGGGCCUUGCGCUUGCUAGGCAAGUGCUCUACCGCUGAGCUAAAUCCCCAACCUCUCCCUGACUCUUUUAAACUCUGGCCAAAUGGCUCUGCUUGUUAAGUUGUAUUGUAAGUUCUGGUAUGUUCUAUGCCAGUACUGGUUGCUCUGCCUGGCUGAGGUAUGUAUACAUGGCCUUAAGUUCAGCCCUAAACUCUCAACUCUAAACUUAAGGGUAUUCUUCAAGAGAUAAGGCGGUCCGUGGGUUUCCUGUUUCAGGUGUCAGUUUCCUAGGUUGGAUAAUUCUGUUGUCCUUUCUCUUUAGAAACCAAAAGCCUCAGAGAAUAGAGAGGAAAAUGAAAAGCCAACUGUAUUAUGUGUUUUCACAUAAACCCAGUGGACAUAACCUUGAUAACAAACACUGCCUUGAAUGUGUGGACUGGGCACCAUGAUGUUAGGGGUCUGGAUUCAAAUUUAGGAUUCAUUUGGUUAGAGUAUGGUAUAGGCUGGGUCCACUUUGUGUUUGACUUGACGUGGUUCUUCUAGAAGCAGGCCAUAUUCUUUUACAAAUAUGAAGGUUGAGAUGGCUUGUUCGUGUGCUCCUAGGCACAGCUCAUAGGAACCUACAUGACAUAUAUGUUCCUUUUGCUUUAUAUAAACUACUCCAGUGAAUUUUAUUAAUAUUAAAAUGUUAGGUUGCUGAUGCUUGGGGUUUAUAUCUUGUUGAGUUUUCUAUUUCCAGUAUUAUGGAAUACAGUGCCUUUACAUAGUAGAGCUUCGAUAAGUACAGGCGUUGAAUUAUGCUGUAAUGUUGUAAAAACACAUUAACAAUGAAAAGUACUAAAAAACUUUUACUGACUGUGGCAGGGAUGUCACCAGGGAGUCAUUGUUAUGCAAGUAAAUACAGAAAAGGGUAGGCUCACAUCAAGAGUGAAAGAACAAGGGGAAUGCAUAACUGGGUGGGACUGGUUUGUAAGAAGCGAUGUUCAAUUCACUCUGGUUGGUCCAGGAUUGCGUGGAGUAACUAGAAUUUCAACCUUCUUCUCAAGUAUUUUUAUCCUUCUCACCUUUCGAAAGCUACUCCGCUGGUUUCCAUUUCUUCCCUUAGGGCUGGCGCCAACUGAUGCGACCCCAAAGUCUUAACAGUCCAUGCCGAGCUCCCAGCUCCCGCUCAAAAGUGCUUCAGCCUAGGGGAUCGGGGAUGCGAGCC